rnacentral:rRNA from 1 species
UGGUGGAGCGAUUUGUCUGGUUAAUUCCGAUAACGAACGAGACUCUGGCCUAUUAAAUAAGUUCGCCGAUUCCGAUCUGUCGGCGUUAACUUCUUAGAGGGACAAGUGGCUUUUAGCCACGCGAGAUUGAGCAAUAACA